UCCGUAGGUGAACCUGCGGAAGGAUCAUUACAGAGUUCAUGCCCUUCGGGGUAGAUCUCCCACCCUUGUGUAUCAUUAUAGAAUGUUGCUUUGGCGGGCCGCGCCUAGUGUGCCUGGAUUCGCGUUCAGCGUGCCCGCCAGAGGACCCCUAAACUCUGAAUGUUAGUGUCGUCUGAGUACUAUUAAAUAGUUAAAACUUUCAACAACGGAUCUCUUGGUUCUGGCAUCGAUGAAGAACGCAGCGAAAUGCGAUAAGUAAUGUGAAUUGCAGAAUUCAGUGAAUCAUCGAAUCUUUGAACGCACAUUGCGCCCCCUGGUAUUCCGGGGGGCAUGCCUGUUCGAGCGUCAUUUAUACCAAUCUAGCCCGGCUAGGUGUUGGGCUCCGCCGUUUGGCGGGCCUUAAAACCGGUGGCGGUGCUCUUAGGCUCUACGCGUAGUAAUUUUCUCGCUAUAGGGUCCUGGGAGAUGCUUGCCAGCAACCCCAAAUUUUUCUAGGUUGACCUCGGAUCAGGUAGGGAUACCCGCUGAACUUAAGCAUAUCAAUAAGCGGAGGA
rnacentral:rRNA from 1 species